rnacentral:rRNA from 1 species
AUGAACGCUGGCGGCGUGCCUAAUACAUGCAAGUCGAGCGAACAGACGAGGAGCUUGCUCCUCUGACGUUAGCGGCGGACGGGUGAGUAACACGUGGAUAACCUACCUAUAAGACUGGGAUAACUUCGGGAAACCGGAGCUAAUACCGGAUAAUAUAUUGAACCGCAUGGUUCAAUAGUGAAAGACGGUUUUGCUGUCACUUAUAGAUGGAUCCGCGCCGCAUUAGCUAGUUGGUAAGGUAACGGCUUACCAAGGCAACGAUGCGUAGCCGACCUGAGAGGGUGAUCGGCCACACUGGAACUGAGACACGGUCCAGACUCCUACGGGAGGCAGCAGUAGGGAAUCUCCCGCAAUGGGCGAAAGCCUGACGGAGCAACGCCGCGUGAGUGAUGAAGGUCUUCGGAUCGUAAAACUCUGUUAUUAGGGAAGAACAAAUGUGUAAGUAACUAUGCACGUCUUGACGGUACCUAAUCAGAAAGCCACGGCUAACUACGUG